rnacentral:rRNA from 1 species
GUAGGGAAUAUUGGGCAAUGGAUGCAAGUCUGACCCAGCCAUCCCGCGUGCCGGAAGAAGGCCCUCAGGGUUGUAAACGGCUUUUGACGGUGAAGAAUCGACAGGAUGCGUCCUGUUUUGACGGUAGCCGUUGAAUAAGCACCGGCUAACUCCGUGCCAGCAGCCGCGGUAAUACGGAGGGUGCGAGCGUUGUCCGGAUUUAUUGGGUUUAAAGGGUGCGUAGGCUGGAAGGUCAGUAAGCGGUGAAAAGAUGACGCUUAACGAUAGUCUUGCCGCAGAUACUUCCUUUCUUGGAUGAGGAGGAGGCCACUGGAACGGAUGGUGUAGCGGUGAAAUGCAUAGAUAUCAUCCAGAACACCGAUUGCGAAGGCAGGUGGCUGUACCUUAAUCGACGCUGAUGCACGAAAGCAUGGGGAGCAAACAGGAUUAGAUACCCGGGUAGUCC